rnacentral:rRNA from 1 species
UACGGGGGGGGCGAGCGUUAUUCGGAAUUAUUGGGCGUAAAGGGCGCGUAGGCGGCUUGGUAAGUCAAAGGUGAAAUCCCUCGGCUCAACUGAGGAACUGCCUUUGAAACUGUCAGGCUUGAGGCCGGGAGGGGGUAGCGGAAUUCCCAGUGUAGCGGUGAAAUGCGUAGAUAUUGGGAGGAACACCAGUGGCGAAGGCGGCAUCCUGGACCAACACUGACACUGAGGAGCGAAAGCGUGGGGAGCAAACAGG